rnacentral:rRNA from 1 species
GACGAACGCUGGCGGCGUGCUUAACACAUGCAAGUCGAACGGAAAGGCCCUGCUUUUGUGGGGUGCUCGAGUGGCGAACGGGUGAGUAACACGUGAGUAACCUGCCCUUGACUUUGGGAUAACUUCAGGAAACUGGGGCUAAUACUGGAUAGGAGCUCCUGCUGCAUGGCGGGGGUUGGAAAGUUUCGGCGGUUGGGGAUGGACUCGCGGCUUAUCAGCUUGUUGGUGGGGUAGUGGCUUACCAAGGCUUUGACGGGUAGCCGGCCUGAGAGGGUGACCGGCCACAUUGGGACUGAGAUACGGCCCAGACUCCUACGGGAGGCAGCAGUGGGGAAUAUUGCACAAUGGGCGGAAGCCUGAUGCAGCAACGCCGCGUGCGGGAUGACGGCCUUCGGGUUGUAAACCGCUUUCGCCUGUGACGAAGCGUGAGUGACGGUAAUGGGUAAAGAAGCACCGGCUAACUACGUGCCAGCAGCCGCGGUGAUACGUAGGGUGCGAGCGUUGUCCGGAUUUAUUGGGCGUAAAGGGCUCGUAGGUGGUUGAUCGCGUCGGAAGUGUAAUCUUGGGGCUUAACCCUGAGCGUGCUUUCGAUACGGGUUGACUUGAGGAAGGUAGGGGAGAAUGGAAUUCCUGGUGGAGCGGUGGAAUGCGCAGAUAUCAGGAGGAACACCAGUGGCGAAGGCGGUUCUCUGGGCCUUUCCUGACGCUGAGGAGCGAAAGCGUGGGGAGCGAACAGGCUUAGAUACCCUGGUAGUCCACGCUGUAAACGGUGGGUACUAGGUGUGGGGUCCAUUCCACGGGUUCCGUGCCGUAGCUAACGCUUUAAGUACCCCGCCUGGGGAGUACGGCCGCAAGGCUAAAACUCAAAGGAAUUGACGGGGCCCCGCACAAGCGGCGGAGCAUGCGGAUUAAUUCGAUGCAACGCGUAGAACCUUACCUGGGUUUGACAUGGAUCGGGAGCGCUCAGAGAUGGGUGUGCCUCUUUUGGGGUCGGUUCACAGGUGGUGCAUGGCUGUCGUCAGCUCGUGUCGUGAGAUGUUGGGUUAAGUCCCGCAACGAGCGCAACCCUUGUUCACUGUUGCCAGCACGUUAUGGUGGGGACUCAGUGGAGACCGCCGGGGUCAACUCGGAGGAAGGUGGGGAUGACGUCAAGUCAUCAUGCCCCUUAUGUCCAGGGCUUCACGCAUGCUACAAUGGCUGGUACAGAGAGUGGCGAGCCUGUGAGGGUGAGCGAAUCUCGGAAAGCCGGUCUCAGUUCGGAUUGGGGUCUGCAACUCGACCUCAUGAAGUCGGAGUCGCUAGUAAUCGCAGAUCAGCAACGCUGCGGUGAAUACGUUCCCGGG